CUGACAUGCGUGCGAGUCAACGGGUGAGUAAACCCGUAAGGCGCAAGGAAGCUGACUGGUGGGAUCCCCUUGUGGGUUGCACCGCCGACCGACCUAGAUCUUUUGAGAAGGGUUCAAGUGAGAGCAUGCCUGUCGG
rnacentral:ncRNA from 1 species